CCAGCCUGUAACCGUCUCCUUACAGAACUUGAAAGGGCUGCACCACUGCCGAGCUAUGGGACAGAUGGAUUUCAACAGAGUGAUGACAUUAUGGGAAGCACAUUAACCUUCUCCAAAGCAGCAACAAAAGAAAAGCAAGAUUCAAUCACUGGAAUGAAAAACUAUUUCACAAAUUCAGUGAAUGUUUUAAGUCCUCUAAAAUUUGGCAUUUUGACUUUUGGAAUUAAUGAGUAGGAAAAUUUAUUUAAAAUGAAUAUUCCCCCAAAAAGAGAAGCCAUUUGAACCCUAAACUCUCUCAUCCAACAGAGCUAGCAAAUUAGAUUUAAGAAGAAAGAUAAUUUGAUUCCUCUGAGUUUCUCUACAAGGAAACAUCAAUCAGAGUGAAAGAAGAAUACACACUUUCCAAGGAACUUCUUGCAUUUCCCUCCAGGAGGAAAGUCCAGAGAAAUAAUUGGGUCUUUUAAUCCUCCGAGAAUGGUCUCCAAUGGCUGGCACUAGGACCAAAAAUCUCAGCAACCACGGGGAGAUGGCAGUGUGUAUUUCACACAGAGCACAGCUCCUGAUGUCAGAGGCCUCAGCUGGGAAGACUUGAAGGCAAGGAGAGGACGGUGUGACUCAACGGCUGAGGAUUAGAAUCAUCUCCAGCAGUCUUCACUAACAUGUCUGGCAGUUGAUGCUGGCUGUCAGCAGGGACCUCAGCUGGUCUGUCAGCCAGAAAACAUACCUGUGUAUUCUCCAUGUGGUCUCCCAAUGUGGACUAGUUUCGGUUCUCACAGCAUGGCAGCUGGGUUCCAAGAGCAGACAUCCCAAGAGAGCCAGGCAGAAGUCUUAUUGCUUUUAUGACCUUGUGUUGGAAGUCACAUAGUGUCACACAGUACCACCAGAUUUAUAAGGAGGACACAAGAAACCCACAUUUCAAAUGGAAGGAGUGUCAACGUCACAUUGAAAGAGGAGCAUGUGAAAUGAAGGAUAUUGUUGCAAGCUAUUGAGAAAACACAAUCUGAUGGAGAGUAAGAGAGACAGUGAGAGACAAACUUUUAAGUCAACCUGAAAGAUGACUACCUCUAACGGCACAGCCAUAUGACAAAACAAUUUGAGGAUGCACUUAAUUUUGAAGAGUCAAAUAACCAUUGCCUAAACACAACAAUUCAUUCAGAACUAUUGAAAGCAUGCUAGGCUUCUAUACUUUGAAAGAGAAUGGACUAUCACAUAUUUUUCAAAGCCACUUCUCAAAUUAGGCAGUGCAAAGGUAACAAACAAAAUAAAGGUUUUUUCAGAUAUAUAGAUAACCAGGACUUAUCAUAAACUAGGUAAGGAGAAUAAUUCAGUCAAGCUAGCAUGUGCCUAGAAAAUGAACAAAAACAACUCUAUUUGUAAGCAUUCUGUUCUUUUUCAGGACUAAAUUGUAAAAUUCUUAUGAUUUAAAAAUAGUGGUCCUUUAUUGUGCACUCAUGUGCAAAGAGCUUUAGUGGAAUGUGCACUUUUUAAAUAUCUGAUCCUUGUAACAUUAUGAAAUUAGUAUAUUUCCCUCCAAUUUAUAGAUAAGAAAGCUAAAGCUCAGUCUAAAUAAUUUAACCAAUUCUACCUGCAUCCCAAAUUCAUGCACAUUCUAUUAUCAAAGGCUACUUUUGGUUUGUUUAUAAAAUUUUCUUCCAAAGGAUACUUAAGUUAAAAAUAACCCAGACACUUCUGGCCAGAGUUUGAAAUAGGGCCAGGUUAACUUUGAGUAUUUUUGUGAGGAUUAUGAACCAGGAGAAAAAAAAUUAAUUAAUUUGAAACGGGUGGAUAGCAGAUAUCUUAAGAUUUCUUAAUGUGACAAAACACAAAUUUUCAACAAAAAGAAAUAAAUAUUGAGAGGGAGUUCCAGAAAUCAAUAAAGACAAAAAAGUAAUAGAUAUACACAUCUGAAGUAGUCUGCAUCGAUUGGCUGGAAGAAUAAAUAUAGAUGUUAAACCAAUGUUUCUGAAGCUUAAUAUUGCCAUUUUAAAAAAAUAGACAUUUACAGGAAAAUGUUUCAGAACUUUUAACGUAGCAGACUUUUUCAUUUUUCUUUAUUCUUCUUUGACUUCUCCUUAGGUAGUGACCUGAGCCUCCCUCAGGGACAUCUUUAGAUUUGCGUCUUUCUUUUCUUUUCUUUUCUUUUCUUUUGAGAUGGGGUCUCACUCUAUCUCCCAGGCUGGAAUGCAGUGGCAGGAUCACAGAUCACUGCAACCGCCCCCUCCGGGCCUCAAAAGAUCCUCCCACCUCCGCCUCCGGCGUAGCUGGGACUACAGGCCCAUGCCAUCACAUCCUGUUAAUUUUUGUUUUUUGUUUUGUUGUUGUUGUUUUUGUUUGGUAGAGAUGAGGUUUCACCAUACUGCCUCAGCUAGUCUCAAACUCUUAUGAUCAAG
rnacentral:lncRNA from 1 species